rnacentral:lncRNA from 1 species
UUAGUCAUAUCAUGUCAAUCAUAUCAAUCAUGCUGAAAAUUAAAUAGAGAAAAUCAAACAAAUCAUGUCAUGCUUUUGUCUUAUUUUGUUCUUCGCACAAAGUCGUUCUGACUUGCAUUUAUUGGGGACAAUACGAAUUCUCAACUACCCAAUUCAUUUCAUAUCAUAUCAGCAAUUUGCGGCUUACUAAACUAUCAACACAUUUACAACUUGCCAAACCAUGACACGAUUAUGACUAUGGCCGUGCCAACCAUAGUGGUCAUAUAUGUAAACUUAGUCACGACCGUACUUUCCCAAAUAUGACU